rnacentral:misc_RNA from 1 species
GCCAGAUCAACAAGAGGUAUACAUCAGUUGGCUCAGUCUGCAAAUCACCAAAACCGAAAAUAAACAAAUGUAGUGGAAGAGAAAACAAGGCCCAAUUAAACCGAAUUCUGGGAAAGAACAGAACCAAACUUUAGUUUAUUGGUUUUCUAAAUGUUAAAACAAUUCGAAAAUUGCAGCAAGAGCAAUGCUGCUUUUCAGAAAUGUAACAAAAAUUAUAAUCUCUGUUCAGUGUUCAAAGCUCAUGUUCUCAUCAUUAAACAAUGAGAGAGAAAAAAAAAUGCAU